AAUUCCGAGUAAUCGCGGCUAACUUAUGUUAGCUGAGGAAAGUCCACUCUCGCACAAACUGAGAUGUUUGUAGUGUUCGUGCUUGGCGAAAAAAUAAGCUGAGGAGCUAUCUUUGAUAGUUAUGGCGAAAAAAAGGGCUAAGGUUUUCUAUGCCUGAGUAUUUCUGAAAGUGCCACAGUGACGAUACAGUUUAGGAAACUUUACUGGUGGAACGCGGUAAACCCCUCGAGCGGGAAACCCAAACUUUGGUAGGGGAGCUUCACACACGGGAAUUGAACUAAGUGUGGGGGGGAGAUAUAAAUAUCUCUCAGAUAGAUGAUUACUACUUAAAUAUUAACGUCCUGAGUUCUUAUUUAAGCACAAAACAUGGCUUACAAGA
rnacentral:RNase_P_RNA from 2 species